AUUGAACGCUGGCGGUAUGCUUAACACAUGCAAGUCGAACGGUAGCAGGCCUUCGGGCGCUGACGAGUGGCGGACGGGUGAGUAACGCGUAGGAAUCUGCCUGGUAGUGGGGGACAACUUAUGGAAACGUAAGCUAAUACCGCAUACGCCCUACGGGGGAAAGCAGGGGAUCUUCGGACCUUGCGCUAUCAGAUGAGCUUGCGUUGGAUUAGCAAGAUGGUGGGGUAAAGGCCUACCAUGGCGACGAUCCAUAGCUGGUCUGAGAGGACGAUCAGCCACACUGGGACUGAGACACGGCCCAGACUCCUACGGGAGGCAGCAGUGGGGAAUAUUGGACAAUGGGCGAAAGCCUGAUCCAGCAAUACCGCGUGAGUGAAGAAGGUCUUCGGAUCGUAAAACUCUGUUUUCAGGGACGAAUGUGCAGCUUGUAAAUAAUGAGUUGUAAUGACGGUACCUGAGUAGAAAGCCACGGCUAACUACGUGCCAGCCGCCGCAGUAA
rnacentral:rRNA from 1 species